rnacentral:rRNA from 1 species
CUUGCAUCCUCUAAAUGUAUUAGGAUGAUUGAUCCCUUUGGUAUGUUUCAUUGGGAAUGGAUCCCAUCUGUUGGGAAAUCGGGGGGUAUACUGAGUGGUGUGAGACAUGAUACUUUGGAUAUUAUUUCAUGCACUAAAGGCAAAUAUAUUUUGCAAAUGGUGGUGCAUGACAAAAAAAUUAAGAAGGACUGGGGCCUCCUGAUAGUUUAUGGAUCUGCACAUGAGGAAUUUAAAGAGGAAUUUUUGGUGGAACUUGCUGCAAUGUGCAACAACAUGGGUGUCCCUUACAUUGUGGGAGGGGACUUUAAUAUUCUGCGCAACUGCAAUGAAAAGAAUAAGAAGAUGAAUAGUAGCAGAUCUACUGAUCUUUUCAAUUCUAUCAUCAAUGCCCUGGCCCUUAGAGAAAUUUAUACUAAUGGGGGUAGAUAUACUUGGACCAAUAAUCAGGCACACCCAACUCUGGAGAAACUGGACCGGAUUUUGAUGUCUGAAGAAUGGGAAAAUCUCUUCCCUUUGGUUUCUGUUAGGAAAUUAGUUCGAGAACUCUCUGACCAUAACCCACUACUGCUUUCUAGUGGGGAGGAAAGUAGAGAAGCUCCUAAACCUCGUGAGUUUUGUUUUAAUCUUGUCUGGACAAAAGAUGAGAAGUUCUUACCCACGGUUAGUAGGAUUUGGGCUAGAAAGGUUCAAUCCUCUCACCCUAUUGAUAUCCUGAAUAUCAAGCUAAAAAGAUUCAAAACCUACUUCAAAGGUUGGGGAUCAGAUAAGUACGGCCACGACAAAAAAAGAAAAGAGGAGCUCCGAAUUGAGCUGGCCAUGCUAGAAGAGCUUGAAGAAAAUGGCCCCUUAUCCCCUGAGCUAUACAGCAUCAAGAUUGAUGUUAGUACUGAGCUUCAUGAUAUACUGGUGAAUGAGGAGAUAUAUUGGCUCCAACAGUCUCAUGAACGCUGGCUCUUGAAAGGUGAUCUGAACACGGACUAUUAUCAUAAGAUUGCAAAUGGUCGCAAGAGGAAAAACACAAUCCAUUCCCUUAAAGCUGGGGAUGUGGAGAUUGAGGGCACUGACAACCUGAUUGCCCAUGCCACAGAAUACUAG